GUUAAACUCCAUUACCUCCCUAACGGUAAUCCUAUGUGACAAUUCAAAUGAGUUUUAAAUGCCAACUUAGAUGUCCAAUUAGGACUAGAAUAGGUUUUUAAUUAAAUAAAUUUAAUUAAUUAAAAGUUUAAAACUAAUUACACCUUGAAUUGAAAAAGAAAAACCAUUAGUCUCAUUUUUCUUUUAGUUUUCUUUUCCAUUUUGACUGAAAAAAAUAUUCUCAUUAAAGUUGACAUUUAAAACCUAUUUGGACUGGAUUGUCGUUAGGGAGGUAAUUGAGUUUAA
rnacentral:pre_miRNA from 1 species